UUGCUUCUAAAGAGCGAGUUAUAUCAAUUUUUUGACCAAACAUUUGAACACCUUCUUGUUCCCAAAAAAUUGGAAUACUGCCACGGACCUGACAAUAGCUUACACAGUAUUUAGAGGAAUCGAGGAUUGUCUCCGUCUCAACAAAGUUAGCAACGUUUCCAUCAUCAUCUACGCCACGUGACAAGAAUCGGGUACCAGCGCGAAGCGAAGACAGUCUAGAUAUUAAAGAAAGCCGAAUAGUCUGAAUUCCUAACUUAAAUUGUUCGGUGCUCGCAAAACCUCUGAUGGCACAUGUAAAGAAGCGACAUCCAUCCAAUGCACUCUUUUCAUCCCCAUUCAAAUGGGAGCGAAAUUUGAUCAACUGUCUAAGCAUAAAUUCGUUCCACAUAAAUUGAGUAUGCAUGCUAUCAUAUUGAGGCUCCGUCAUUGUUUGAGACGUACGAAGUUGCAGUCGGGUAGUAAUGUCAAAAUCGAGAGAAAAGUAAAAUGAUCCAUUUGUUAAUAGCUUUCUGAGACUACUGAAUGGUUCAGCGGCAUACUUGUAAGAAUCAUAGCCUUGGGUAUCGGUAUCGUAACCAUCCGGAAUAUCAGGCGAGUAAUUUUCUUGUCGAAUGUGAUCCCAGUUUGAACGAUUAACACUGUAAAAGCAGACCUCCAUGAUACGAAAAACUCUUUCUUUAUCUCGCACACGUGCUACCUCACUAGCUCCACUAAUCACGCACAAAAAAUUGGACCCUUCUAAUUCAAUCAGACCUAGAGUACCAUAAAUUCGAUGACUGGAGAUUUUUCGAAAUCCUUCUAACGGCUUUUCUGACAAUGCCGUAAAUUCUGCAACACAUACUGAUAAAGAGUUUUUGUUCUGAGGAACCGAAUGAAACAUAAGAGCAUGGUCCUUAUUGACUAAGGCCAAGGAUCUUGGCUUUUCCCUCAGCAGACAUUGCAUCUUAAGAUUCACAAAUGUGAACUAUAAAUAAUAAAAUUCGUUCUGUAAUGAACGAUGCAAGUCUUUACCAACGAUGUUUGUCCGAACAAGUUAUAAAUCUUGGGAUACGAAGUUGGGUGGUGUUGGGUGACAAAAACGUUCGUUACUUA